GAUGAACGCUAGCGACAGGCUUAACACAUGCAAGUCGAGGGGCAGCAUAAAAGUAGCAAUACUUUGGUGGCGACCGGCGCACGGGUGAGUAACGCGUAUGCAACCUACCUAUCAGAGGGGAAUAACCCGGCGAAAGUCGGACUAAUACCGCAUAAAACAGGGGCACCGCAUGGUGAUAUUUGUUAAAGAAAUUCGCUGAUAGAUGGGCAUGCGUUCCAUUAGGUAGUUGGUGAGGUAACGGCUCACCAAGCCGACGAUGGAUAGGGGAACUGAGAGGUUGGUCCCCCACACUGGUACUGAGACACGGACCAGACUCCUACGGGAGGCAGCAGUGAGGAAUAUUGGUCAAUGGGCGGGAGCCUGAGCCAGCCAAGUCGCGUGAAGGAAGAAGGUCUUACGGAUUGUAAACUUCUUUAGCAGGGGAAUAAAAGACGAUACGAGUUAUCGUGUUGAAAGUACUUUGCGAAAAAGGAUCGGCUAACUCCGUGCCAGCAGCCGCGGUAAUGCUACGU
rnacentral:rRNA from 1 species